UACGUAGGAGGCGAGCGUUGUCCGGAAUCACUGGGCGUAAAGCGCGUGUAGGCGGAUGACUAAGUUUGCUGUGAAAGCGCCUGGCUUAACCGGGCGAGGUCGGCGAAAACUAGUCGUCUGGAGGCCGGUAGAGGGGGGUGGAAUUCCGGGUGUAGUGGUGAAAUGCGUAGAGAUCCGGAGGAACACCCGUGGCGCAGGCGGCCCCCUGGGCCGCGCCUGACGCUCAGCCACGAAAGCAUGGGGAGCGAACGGG
rnacentral:rRNA from 1 species